rnacentral:rRNA from 1 species
UUCCGGUUGAUCCCGCCGGAGGCUACCGCUAUUGGAGUUCGAUUAAGCCAUGCGAGUCGUGAGUCCUAGGGACUCGGCGUACCGCUCAGUAACACGUGGGUAACCUGCCCUAUGCUGGGGAAUAACCUCGGGAAACUGAGAAUAAUGCCCCAUAGUUCACCACACCUGGAACGGUGGGUGGAUGAAAGCUCCGGCGGCAUAGGAUGGGCCUGCGGCGUAUCAGGUUGUAGGGGGUGUAAUGUACCCUCUAGCCAUCUACGCGUACGGGUGUUGAGAGACAUCGCCCGGAGAUGGAUUCUGAGACACGAAUCCAGACCCUACGGGGUGCAGCAGGCGCGAAAACUUGGCAAUGCGAGCAAUCGUGACCAGGGAACUCCAAGUGCAUCGGGUAAGACCGAUGCUUUUCUUGACUCUUCAAAGGUCUUGGAAUAAGGGGUGGGUAAGGACGGUGCCAGCCGCCGCGGUAAUACCGGCGCCUCAAGUGGUAGUCGCUUUUAUUGGGCCUAAAACGUCCGUAGCCGGUUUGGUACAUUCGUGGGUAAAUCAAGACGCUCAACGUCUUGAAUUCUGCGAGCACGGCCAGACUUGGGACCGGGUGAGGUGUGGGGUACUCUCAGGGUAGGGGUAAAAUCCUGUCAUCCUGAGAGGACCACCUGUUGCGAAGGCGCCACACUAGAACGGAUCCGACGGUCAGGGACGAAGCCUAGGGGCACGAACCGGAUUAGAUACCCGGGUAGUCCUAGGUGUAAACGCUGUGGACUUGAUGUUGGGGA